GACAGAGGUGCCGAGCGUUAGGCGGAAUCACUGGGCUUAAAGCGUGUGUAGGCGGACUUCUAAGUACCUUGUGAAAUCCCACGGCUCAACCGUGGAACUGCUUGGUAUACUGGUUGUCUUGAGCCACUUAGGGGCAGUCGGAACAGACGGUGGAGCGGUGAAAUGCGUAGAUAUCGUUUGGAACGCCAAUGGUGAAAACAGGUCGCUGGGGAUGAGCUGACGCUGAGACACGAAAGCCAGGGGAGCAAACGGG
rnacentral:rRNA from 1 species